UGCGUAGGCGGGUCUUUAAGUCAGGGGUGAAAUCCUGGAGCUCAACUCCAGAACUGCCUUUGAUACUGAGGAUCUUGAGUUCGGGAGAGGUGAGUGGAACUGCGAGUGUAGAGGUGAAAUUCGUAGAUAUUCGCAAGAACACCAGUGGCGAAGGCGGCUCACUGGCCCGAUACUGACGCUGAGGACGAAAGCGUGGGGGAGCAAACA
rnacentral:rRNA from 1 species